rnacentral:rRNA from 1 species
UACAGAGGGUGCGAGCGUUAAUCGGAAUUACUGGGCGUAAAGCGUGCGCAGGCGGUUUUGUAAGUCAGAUGUGAAAUCCCCGGGCUUAACCUGGGAACUGCGUUUGAAACUACAAGGCUAGAGUGUAGCAGAGGGGGGUGGAAUUCCACGUGUAGCAGUGAAAUGCGUAGAGAUGUGGAGGAACACCGAUGGCGAAGGCAGCCCCCUGGGUUAACACUGACGCUCAGGCACGAAAGCGUGGGGAGCAAACAGG